rnacentral:rRNA from 1 species
GACGAACGCUGGCGGCGUGCUUAACACAUGCAAGUCGAACGGUGAACUCCGCUUGCGGGGGGAUCAGUGGCGAACGGGUGAGUAACACGUGGGCAACCUGCCCUCAGCUCUGGGAUAACUCCAAGAAAUUGGGGCUAAUACCGGAUAUGACCGCUGACCGCAUGGUCUGGUGGUGGAAAGAUUUAUCGGCUGGGGAUGGGCCCGCGGCCUAUCAGCUUGUUGGUGGGGUAGUGGCCUACCAAGGCGACGACGGGUAGCCGGCCUGAGAGGGUGACCGGCCACACUGGGACUGAGACACGGCCCAGACUCCUACGGGAGGCAGCAGUGGGGAAUAUUGCGCAAUGGGCGAAAGCCUGGCGCAGCGACGCCGCGUGGGGGAUGACGGCCUUCGGGUUGUAAACCUCUUUCAGCAGGGACGAAGCGAAAGUGACGGUACCUGCAGAAGAAGCACCGGCCAACUACGUG